UACGUAGGGGGCGAGCGUUGUCCGGAAUCAUUGGGCGUAAAGAGCUUGUAGGCGGUUUGUCGCGUCUGCCGUGAAAAUUCGAGGCUCAACCUCGAACUUGCGGUGGGUACGGGCAGACUAGAGUGUGGUAGGGGAGACUGGAAUUCCUGGUGUAGCGGUGAAAUGCGCAGAUAUCAGGAGGAACACCGAUGGCGAAGGCAGGUCUCUGGGCCACUACUGACGCUGAGGAGCGAAAGCAUGGGGAGCGAACAGG
rnacentral:rRNA from 1 species